UCGAAGAUUAACUGAGGGAGUUUAUAAAUGGGUCUGGGCUCAGAGGAAUGAACUAGAAGUCUCGAGAGAGGACCACAGUCCUCCGACCCGGAAACGACCGCAAGGGAAUCCGAUUGGAACUCUCACGUCCGGCCACCCCACGACGGCGCGCGAGCUCCAUUCCCUUCGUCUCUGCGUCGCCUACCUCACCGUAGCCUCUGAUCGUCCAUGCACUGAACGGAGAAGAAGAAUCGACGAUGGGAAGCUUUGUGUCUCCUCCGGCGAGUUCUGCAAUUUCCGGCUACUCCGGCCACCGUCUGAGCUGCUGGUGAUCCGGCGCUGUUCUUCGACGCCGGCGGCUUCUCUGGUUUCUCUUGGUUCGCUCUCCACCUCAGUUCAUCGUCAGUCGGGUUUCGGUUUCGAGAUCAAAACAAGAAGCUGUGAAUUGGUGGGCAUCAAUUUGACAGUGUAUUCAUAGCCGGGUUUCGGAAAGGAGUUGAAGUAGAAGCUUGGGUUUUCCACCUGCAAUUCGUGCUACCCAAGGUAAAUCGAGGUUCUGCACUUUUGGCACGUUUGGCAUAUUGGAUGAACUGUAGUGUUUUGCCUAGUCUAAUCGAGUUGUAUAGUUCUGGGUGUUUGGAGUUUAUGUUUGAAUGUUGAUAUUAUAGUUGUGGAUUGA